rnacentral:rRNA from 1 species
ACUCAAAUGAAUAGACGGGGGCCUGCACAAGCGGUGGAGUAUGUGGCUUAAUUCGAUGCAACGCGAAGAACCUUACCUGGUCUUGACAUGUAGGUAGUAGAAGCUUGAAAGAGUGACGAUCCCGCAAGGGAAGCUUACACAGGUGCUGCAUGGCUGUCGUCAGCUCGUGUCGUGAGAUGUUGGGUUAAGUCCCGCAACGAGCGCAACCCUUGUGUCCUGUUGCCACCCGAACGAGAGUUCGGAGCACUCUGGACAGACUGCCUCAUUUUAAUGAGGAGGAAGGUGGGGAUGACGUCAAGUCAGUAUGGCCCUUACGACCAGGGCUGCACACGUACUACAAUGCCUGACACAAAGGGAAGCAAGACCGCGAGGUGGAGCAAAUCCCCUAAAAUCAGGCUCAGUUCAGAUUGUUGGCUGCAACUCGCCAACAUGAAGCUGGAAUCGCUAGUAAUGGCGCAUCAGCUACGGCGCCGUGAAUACGUUCCCAGGCCUUGUACACACCGCCCGU